rnacentral:rRNA from 1 species
AUUGAACGCUGGCGGCAGGCCUAACACAUGCAAGUCGAGCGGCAGCAGAGUAAUUGCUUGUGGUUACGGGGGGGGAGGGGCGGGUAAUGCAUGAGUAUAUGGCAAGCUACGGGGGCGUGGGUCCGGACGCAGGGGCACUUACGCCAUUACUGCAGAGGGCGUACGGGUGGAAUCAUCGGAUCUUCCGACCUCGGACGAGCCUAGGAGCCGAUGUCGGAUUAGCUAGUUGGCGGGGUAAAGGCCCACCAAGGCGACGAUCCGUUGCUGGUCUGAGAGGAUGAUCAGCCACACUGGAACUGAGACACGGUCCAGACUCCUACGGGAGGCAGCAGUGGGGAAUAUUGGACAAUGGGCGCAAGCCUGAUCCAGCCAUGCCGCGUGGGUGAAGAAGGUCUUCGGGUUGUAAAGCACUUUUGGUGGGAAGGAAGAGCAGUAAGUUAAUACCUUGCUGUUUUGACGGUACCCACAGAAUAAGCACCGGCUAACUUCGUG